ACACCUCACAGGGACAGAGACAUCUCACAGGGACAGAGACACAUUACAGGGACAGAGGGUAGGAGUUAAAACAGGAAUCUGAAGUAUAGCAGGUCAGCCUUUAAUGGAGUCCUUAUUCUACCCAUUAGAUGACCAUGAGAAUGAAAAUAGCCUUUUUUCCAAAUGAGUUUGAAAAUUUGCAUUUAGAUAAGUUUCCUUGAUUUCUUUAUUCCGUCCCUUCACCCGCUCCUUCCUGCAUGCUGUUGCCUUCUCUAAUUCCCCCCUCCUCUGUAGUCGACCCGGGUCUCCUCUUCUUUUAUUCUGUUUGCCACUAAUAAUCCACCAUCAUUGCCUUUUCUUCUCAAACACAGACGCUUACCUCCCUAAACAUCAGUGUGAUAAAGCCACAGCAGGGCUUUUAUGUGAUGUGCUUUCCAAGGCUACAGACUCAUGUGUUUUUUUGUUAUUUACACUUUGGAAAAUAAAAUUCUUUCGUUCACAACUAAACAAAUGAACAACUCAUCUGAACGACACGGAGAACAAAGGCUCUUCCCUGGUACUGAGGUUCAAAACCACCAUGUAAACAUGUAGAAAUCCCAGUUCCUACAGACAGACUACAGGCUGCAUGAAGCUGCAUCGCUCUCUGUCCCCGCCAAACAGGAUUGCUCUUCUCUGCCAGGCCAGGUUUGCUGUUUCUGUGAACCUGCCAUCCUAAGUACUCAGUAAAUAUAACAUCCUGUUUAUUGAGCUGUAAACAUCAUUUUCUGAGGCUGGGCUGGAAUCACAUCAGAGUCUUUAUUUUUCUUUUCUCAGAGUCACAGAGCUAAAGGGCUGGGAGCGCUUGUGUGACAGCUGUGGCCUUAAUUAUUUAUUUAGUGGCAGAAGCAACCUUUAACCUUUGUAAUCAGUUCUUAUAAAUAACCAUGAAAACAUUUGUUUUAGGGCCGUUUGUCACAGAGCCCGGUGGUAAAAUCAGCCUGUAACUGGUGCCACAGCAACCAGCUCCAGUCAAAUCAGAUUUUCCAGUUUCGUUUUAACUCAUAACAACUACAGCUGCACAAAAUACCACAAAGUGUAGAUAUGAGUGCGAGAACUGCUCAGACUGCAAUACAUGAUGACCUUCUGUACGAGGCUGACCUUUGCUAAUCAGGAAUGAAUCUCUGAUAUCAGUUGUUGGGUCAAUGGGGUGUCUUCAGUCAGAAAUUAAACAACCUCUUGCUUCUGCUUCAAGUGUAAAGAGUAUCAUGCAUUGUUAAACAUGGCUCGGCACAUAAAGGAAACCCUUUAACAACACAAUGCAACUCUAAGUCAGAUCAAAUUGAUUGAUGAUCAGUUUCACAUGAUGUUGUACAAGUAGCAUGGACAACAGGUGUCUAAAUUACAGACAGUUAGGAAGACAUCCCCAAUAAAGAAGUGGCACACGUGUGUUAUGGUCACUUCUGAAUGCAGCUGGUGCUUUCACUCUAGUGGUAGCAUGAGACGGAGUCUCCAACCCACACAAGUGGCUCAGAAGAAGGUUUGCUGGGUCUGCCAGCAGUGUCCACAGCACGAAAGCUUAAGACACUGAGAAAGAGAAGCUGGGUCAUAACAAGGGAGAUGAGGUCCUGGCAGGCACAGAAGAAGCUGCUCUCUUACCGCACCAGUGUUCUUUCUCCGUCUCCAUCAGGGAGGAAAAGCCCCGCCCCCUCUGUGACGCUGACAGGAGAGGGACUAAAAGGAGCGAGCAGUGAGUCGUGGUGGAUGGCUGCUUAUACUGAGCCAGGAUCCUCUGGAGGUUUCUUCCUGUUAAAAGGGAGUUUUCCUCUCCACUGUCACUGCAUGCUUGCUUAGUAUGAGGAUUGCUGUAAAGACUCUGACACUAGUCAGUGACUCGAUGCAACCUGCUGGGUUCCUUAUAAAGGAAACUUUUUACUGAUUGGCUUAAUGACCUGACCUGUAUUGGAAUGUUUACUGUGUGAAGAGCCUUGAGAUGACUCUUGUGUGUUUUGGUGCGAUAUAAAUAAACUUGAAUUGAACGGAAUUCAAUUGAUAAAUUUGAUUUCCUUUGAUUACUUCUGUGAUUUUGUUGUCAGCACAUUUAACUAUGAACUUUUCAUUCACUCAGGCCUAGGACAUCUUAUUUUUGGGCAGUUGUUAUGUUAGAAGUAAUGAUUUCUAGUGUUCGGGACAAAUAAACCAGGUUUAGUUGAACCAGUUGAUAUUAUUUAGUUUAGUAAAUUCAACAUUUCAUUCUUACAGUGUAGCGGUGUUUGUGGUUGUAACUGUCUGUGUUAGGGACAGGAAUAUCUGAGAACCAGAGGCUGAGACGUGGGUUUACUGUAGGGGAUGUCAUCAUUACAAUACUGAAGAAUAUUAUAGUAUUCACACGUUUUAAUGGAUUAAAUGUUCAAGAGGCAGCUUUAAUGUUUCCAUUCUGAAGCAGUUUCAGAACAGAAUAGCUUCUAUAAAACAUUAAAGCCCCUUUACUGUCUGUCCUUUCCACAGCGGUAAUCCUCGUAAACACGUCAGUGCUAUUCCCUCGCUUGUUUUGGUUCUUGUCACUUCAGAAAUUAACUCAAACAACUAUGUUGUUUCCCAUCAGAAAUUCUCACAAAUGAGAACUAAUUCUGAGAAACAAUCCAACUACAUGUGUGGAGAGAAGACAGGUGAGGGGGUGUCUGCAAUGGCCUCUGAGACUCAGCAGGAGUGCAUCAUUACAGAAACGUUCUCUAGAGAUCGGAUCAGCCAGGAUGCACCUAAACAGUCUCACAGGCUAUCGUCAUCACCAACAUACAAAACAACACACCACCAUAUUCCAUCUGAGCAGUGGGUGAAAGGCUAUGAGAAACCCUGAGCUCAUCACAACAAACAUAUACAGUCACAGGCCACUUUAUUGGGUACACCUCUCUAACUGCUCGUUAACGCAAAUUACUAAUCAGCCAAUCACAUGGCGGCAGCUCAAUGCAUUUAGGCAUGUUGAAUUCAGCCAUAUUGGAGGGUUUUUCAGCAGAAGGGGCUGUUUAAGGUCAAAGGUCAUGGAGCGGCUCCAGACCAUCGCAUGUCUGACUGUUAUUACCCAGGUUACUGUUGUAUAUUACAUGUGUUUGCUGAUCUGAAACAUUUAAAUGUGACAAAAGACUAAAAUCUGAAGAAAUCAAACUUUUCAGAAACAUUCUUCCUGCAGACAUGAAACCAUUGUGAGGUCUUCACGCGGAUGUGUGCUGACGUACCUGUGUGAGCUCCAGACAGAGAGCUAAGAACACGAGAAUGUUGGGUUGCUCCAUCGUAAACCUCCACAAUGUCAUUCAGGGCUGUUUGGAAGAAGGCGAACUGACUGAAGACCACUAGAAAAAAUAUCAGACAUCAGGCAGGAACUGCACAUGGCAAAAGCCACAAAGGCAUCACUUCAUUUAAAAUGACUCCGAACGUUCCUAAAAGGCGCUCUCUGGGAUCCACAACCACAAGAAAAUGAUCAGGAUCAAUCCAAUCACCAUGUCCUCCUUAAAGCUGGGUGGAUGAUGUUCUGACAACACAACUAAAGCGUAAAAGAAUCCUUGUAGCUGUGACGGCCAGUCUGGUACAACCAUACUGCGCUGCCUC